CAAUUACUCCCUCCGUCUGACAAAAGAUGUCUCAAGUUUGUCAAAAUUUGAUUGUAUCUAGACAUGACUUAGUGUAUAGAUGCAUUCAAAUUUAGUCAAAAUUGAGAUAUCUUUUGUUGGACUGAGGGAGUAAUAA
rfam:Brachypodium distachyon strain Bd21 chromosome 3, whole genome shotgun sequence.